rnacentral:lncRNA from 1 species
GGGAUUGCCCUGUGUGUCCUCCGGGUCCUUGCACGAGGCCUGUUUGCUCCCAGAGGGGCUCGCCUGGGCCCGUCCUGGUGGAGGGGGUCGGCCAGGGGCUGGUUCUCUCGGCCCAGAGCCCCACCUCCUCACCCUCCAGGCAGACAGACCUCACUGAGUGAAAGCAAAGAUCCUCUCCGCCCCACCUGCCUUUGCUGCUGUCACGGCAUUGACCCCGCCUGUAAGAAGGUGGUCCUGCAGCUCCCGUGGUGUGUGUUGGAAUGGACUUCGGAUCCCGGCUUCUUGGGAUGCAAAGGAUGAAGUGACACCCAUACUGCCAGAGAGGAGCCUCCAGGACCGGCGACAAGGUAAGGCCUCAGCCCCUCCCUCACCCCCGAUCCCUGACCCCCCCCCCCCGGUGACUGUGGGCCUGGUACACGUCACCGUGGGCUGGGUCCCAUCGUGCCAGGCAAGCACCAGGGUGUGUCAAGAAGAUGGGGACAGGGACUUGGAGCCUGAACGUGGCAGGAAAAGAUGAGCCAGGGUGAAGCGUCUCUGAUAGGUUCUUAGGCUGGAAACGGGCUGGGGGAUCCAUGGAUCUUGGACUUUGGGCCUGGAAUGUGUUCAGGGCAGUGUGGGACCAAGGGACAUUUGUGUGCCAGGCCUCGGCCACCCUGCAGCGCCCUGCCUGGCUCUCCACAGCCCUGUGGCUGUGGCUGCUGCCAGCUCUCCCUGGGAGCUCGUGCUUGGGGAACCUCGUGGACUUGAGAGUUCUAGAAGUCCAGUCCUCCCUCUGUCCUGGGGUGCUGCUGACCCCCUGUGGCCCCCUCCUUCCUCCACAAGCGGCUGGCAGGGAGGAGGCCCCCGGCCCUGAGCUGCUGUCCUUCCCUCCCCGAGCGCAGGGCGCCCCUGCCCAGGCCGGGCCUUCACAGGCCAUCCCAGUCCUGGGGUAGCUCGGGUGGCUCAGGGAACCUGGGGCCAUCGGGCCUCGGCCCCAGGCAGCGCCGUGUCAGAGGUGACCGGUGGAACGCCAGUGUUAUGUAAAUAGCGGGGCCUGCCCGGCGGGCGAGCUGGCUGGCUGCAGCCAUCCAUCAUCGCACUCCGCAGGGCGGGGGACAGACACGGCACCGUGCGCCUGGCUCCAAACCUGUUUGUUUUCCCUUUGUCUCACGGGUUUCGGGGGCCCGGCUGUGACCGGCUCCGGGGUUUUGUCCUGCCGGCCCCCUCCCCCCGGAGGACGGGGGAGAGGGAGGAGAUUCACGCGGCUCCCACCGCGGCAUCCCUUUUGGACAUCAAAGGCUCCCCCAGCAUUGUCUGUGCCGGCGGGCAGUGGCCCUGAAAACGUGAUCAGAGGCGGCCGGUGUAGGGCAGGCCCGGCCCGCGCCCUGCGCUCUCGCUGGGGCCCUUGGAUUCCUCCCUUUGCCGCCAGCACCACCCUGGUUACAGCGCUGCUCCCCGGGCCCCUCUCCUCGCCUUUCUCGCCCCUGGCAUCCAAGCCUGGCCCGACCCCGCCGCUGCCGCGCUCCCAUCCUCUCUUAGCCACAGCCCAGCACCCCUGGCCUGGCAUCGCGAUGCCAGGAGGUUGAGCGCUGCGAGUCUCUGCCCCUCGUAUCCUCCAUGAGAGUCGGAAGCACAGAGAAGGGCCCCUUGGGAUGCGGGCAGCUGGGAUGGACCAGCCUCUGCUGGGCCUCUUUUCUUUUCCCCCACCCUGCUGCCGAUGAGACCCUGACCUCCCCCGGAGGCCUCUGCCCAGCCAGCCCUUGCUUCCACUUCUUAGCAGGGUGCAGGUUGGCCGCUUCUGUCCUAACAGCCAGCCCCAGGUGCUUCCAUUCUCUGGAGCAAGGCUUGGCAAAGCAUGGCCAGAGGGCCACAUUUGGCCCCUGCCUGUUUUUGUAAAUAAAGUUUUAUUAGAACGCAGCCAUGCCCACUCAUUUGCUUCUCAGUUGUGGCCGAUUUCACUUUGCAGUGGCAGCGCUGAGUAGCUACAAUAGAGAAUAUCUGGCCUGAAAAGCCUGGAAUAUUUACAGUCGGGCCUAUUAUAGAAAAGGUUAGGAGUUCCCGUUGUGGCGCAGCAGAAGCAAAUCCGACUGGUGUCCAUGAGGAUGUGGGUUCGAUCCCUGGCCUCGCUCAGUGGAUUAAGGAUCCCACGUUGCCAUGAGCUGUGGUAUAGGUCACAGAUGCGGCUUGCAUCCUAGGCUGCUGUGGCUGUGGUGUAGGCUGGCAGAUGUAGCUCUGAUUUGACCCCUAGUGUGGGAACUUCCAUAUGUUGUAGGUGUGGC